rnacentral:rRNA from 1 species
AGUGAACGCUGGCGGUAGGCCUAACACAUGCAAGUCGAACGGCAGCACAGUAAGAGCUUGCUCUUACGGGUGCCGAGUGGCGGACGGGUGCGGAAUACAUCGGUAUCUACUUUUUCGUGGGGGAUAACGUAGGGAAACUUACGCUAACACCGCAUACGACCUACGGGUGAAAGCUGCGGAUCUUCGGACCUUGCGCGAUCGAAUGAGCCGAGGUCGGAUUAGCUAGUUGGCGGGGUAAAGGCCCACCAAGGCGACGAGCCGUAGCUGGUCUGAGAGGAUGAGCAGGAACACUGGAAAUGAGACAAGGACGAGACUACUACGGGAGGAAGCAGUGGGGAAGAUUGGACAAUGGGCGAAAGCAUGAUCCAGCCAUGGCGCGGGGGUGAAGAAGGUCUUCGGAUUGUAAAGCAUUUUAAGUGGGGAGGAAGGGCAGUAAGGUAAUAACUUGCUGUUUUGACGGGAGCAAAAGAAUAAGCAAAGGCUAACGUCGUG